rnacentral:rRNA from 1 species
GACGAACGCUGGCGGCAUGCCUAACACAUGCAAGUCGAGCGAAACCUUCGGGUCUUGUGGCCCACGGCGGCGUAACGCGAGGGAAGCUGCACUUAGGUUCGGAAUAACUCCCCGACAGGGGUACUAAUACCGGAUAAUGGCUUCGGACCAAAGAUUUAUCGCCUUUGGAUGGGCCCGCGUUGGAUUAGCUAGUUCGUAGGGUAAAAGCCUACCAAGGCGACGAUCCAUAGCUGGGCUGAGAGGCUGAUCAGCCACACUGGGACUGAGACACGGCCCAGACUCCUACGGGAGGCAGCAGUGGGGAAUAUUGGACAAUGGGCGAAAGCCUGAUCCAGCAAUGACGCGUGAGUGAUGAAGGCCUUAGGGUUGUAAAGCUCUUUUACCCGGGAUGAUAAUGACAGUACCGGGAGAAUAAGCUCCGGCUAACUCCGUG